rnacentral:lncRNA from 1 species
AUGAAGCCAGAACCUGGAAAUACCCGGUCCAGACAGCGACCCCAGCCUUUGGGACAGUGGGAGAUAAAGGUGCUACUGAAGCGUUAUAUAACAUUUUCACCAUAACAAGAACCAUAGCAGAAUGUGGAGACAUGACAUGGCUGCCUAUCUCCUGGCUUCACCAGAAGCCGUGAGCUACAGCAGGAUUCCCAUCUACACUGGAUCCAGCGUGCACGGAUCCCACACGUUUGCUGAGGUUCUGAGGUGGAAGGAGGGUGAUCAUGACCAAGGACUUCACUGGCAAAGAGGAAGCACAGAUGUGGAGCCAGCCCGGUCAGGACAGACUUCUUGGGCUUUGGGCAGCAGGAAAUGUCACAGGAGAUGGAGGAGGUAGAGAAAGGAGGGCUGGGCUUGGGCUUGGGUGGAAGUCCUUUGCCUGCUCCUUGCAGAGCUGGCUGGGGUAAGUGCUUGUGGCAUUUAGGCAGCUUUGCUUUGUAGACUAAUCAAUAGCCUGUGACAUUAAAAUGUUUGAGUACAAUAAGA